AGGUGGAAGAAACUGAUUUCAACAGGAUUCGAGGUCAUCCAAAAAUCUUCUACAAGAUUUGAAGCCAUCCAUGGUAGGAUCCAAAGUGGAGGAAGUCGAGCUUGACACCAUGGUCACCUAAAAAUCUUAGACAGGAUCCGAGAUAGAAGUCAUCAAUAAAUACACAUUAGCAAUCUAUAUUAAAAAUUUAUCCGAAGAGAUGUAACGAUUCCCCUGAAGAACCAAGCAGAACAAAAGGCCAACCUCAUUAAAAAGCAGAGGUCAUCAGAAGAGCUUAUAAGAAUGUCGAGGUCAUCAGAAAGCUAUCCUCAUUGUGAGAUUGAAAUCAUCAGAAAACCGACCUCAUCAUGAGGCCAAGAUCAUGAAGCGAAGCUCAU
rnacentral:lncRNA from 1 species